AUGGGAGCAGGAAGUGUCUGGGACCCCGUCCCCCUCCCGCGGCGGUGUAUAAACCCGGGCGGGCCGUCAGAGCGGAGCUUCACAGCAGAGACAAGAGCCCAGAAAGGAGCAGAUGCUAGAUUUGCAAGAUCAGAAGCAGGUCUUGAUCCCCCUGCCCAGGAUGAACCAGACUUGAUGAUGCCACCUUCAGGAGCCACCACACUGUGUGACAGUGGGGCAUUUGGGUCGUCCCUGGGAAGAACAGCUGAACCACAGUCCUCUGUACUCGCCCAGGAGCCACAGAGAGUGAACAUCCCUCAGAGGUUAAAAAGACUAAAUCAGGAGCAGAUUCUCGUGGGGGAUAGGAGAGAAGAUAGUGAACAACAACCACCACAACGACUGGAGCAAUGUCUACAAAGGUUAUGGCAAGUUAUAAAGGAGGAGCCAUAUCUUGUCUUCAUCAGUGGACUAAAAUGGUUCUUAGGAACUGCAGAACGCUCAGUGAGGAGGCCGGAGAGAGGGCUCAGCAAGUCUCUUUCCCAGUCUAGUGUUGCUCACUGA
rnacentral:lncRNA from 1 species